CAGCGCAACACCACAAGUUUGCCACAAGUUUGAAAAAAGACAGAAAGAGGAGGCUUUAACUUUGUCUUGCAUUGAUUUCAUGAGAGCUGUAAGAAUAAGCAAGCAGCUCUGAUUCCGCCCUCUUCAAUGCCAUCAAAGAGGCCACUUCUUCCAAAACGAGGCUCCCUUAAUACCACUAAACUAGACCUCAGAUGCAGUAAUGUGAGAUAGAGCAAAUGUAGUCUUUUGAUAUCAAACAAAACCAAUUUUUUCCGUUUCAUCCUUCCCUGUCUGCGCCGUUGAUAUGCUUGGGCUUCUGGGGGUUGUAUAUCCCGGAGCAGUUGCAGAUCCGAGGCUGGUGGCCUCCGUUCUUGAGAUUCGGUGAGGCGGUGUGGCGAGUGGGUGUGCGUAGUCGGAUUUUAGGGUAAAUUCCUCUCUUUGAUCUGGUUUUCUCCUUUUUCAGAUCUGGUGGGGUGUUUGUGCGGUGGAGACGUGUGUUUAGUAGGUUGCUCUCUCCUUGGUCUCUAUGGUCUGAAUCCGAAGUUUAUCUUCGUGUGGAGAGGGGCGUUUUGCUCUUCGUCUUCCCGGCGCUAGGGUUUUGGUGUCUUCAUGCGGUCUGCUCUGCUCAAGGGAGACGACAUGUACGGUUAUCUGUCGGUUCGUGCACAUGGUUUGGAUGGUCGUGUGGCUAUCGUUUCUUAUGUGGGCUUGUGUCUGCAUUUUCUGUGGCGUGGUUAGGGUUUGUCGUCUAUGGCUUGCUUGUCUCCGUCACCGAGGUUGCUCUCCUUUUGCUUCCUCUCUCAUGAAUCUGGUCGAGUGUGCUCUACUCUCUUUGUGAGUGGUUAGGGCUUUUGUUGGUUCCGCUUCAUGUUCGCCAUGCUCUAACAAGGGUGUUUGUGAAGCGCUUAAAGACCGGAGCAGGUUCUUUGUUUUGGAUCAGGUCGUUGUCUUGUAGCUCCGGUUGGGUCUGUCGGUGGUGUGGACGGCGGGGUCUCCUGGUUAGGGAAUGGUCAUCCCAGUGCUUGGUCGGCCUCUUGGCUUGCUCAGCAGAUUAUUCCCUUUCUUUUGGCAGGAUCCGAAGAUCUCGUUUCAGAUUUGUCUCCAUCGCAGCCUGUUGAAUAAAGCUCGGCUGUCUCGUGGGUGUGUUUAGUCUCUGGUCUAGCGGUUUGUGCGUGUUGGAUUUGGAUUCGAAGGUCAUUAGCGAGCUGUUCUUAGAUGGACCUUAUCUUAAAGACAUGUUCAUCGGGUACGCCAACUUUUACCAGGUUCAGGAUCUCGUAUUCACUGCGGUUCAUCUUUUUGCGGCAAGCGACUUGUUCCGACUCUGAUGGGUCCUCUGUGUGGACUAGUUAGCUAGUUGUAUUAUCCCUUGCUUGUUCAGUUAGUGCUUAUGUCUAGUUAGUUUAGUUGUAUUUUAAUUAUCUGUUUUUUGUUUUCUCUAUAAUUCUGUCAAAAACUAAAAUUGGUAACAAAAUCUUAACAUUUUUACCAGAAAAAAAGUCAGAUUUAAUAAUAUAUAUAUAUCUUAACUUGAUAUAUAGUUGUUACAAAUAAAUAAAGUGGAUAUAUAUACAACAUAUGGACCUUAAUUUUUUUAUAUGAGAACCAUUGGGAGCUUGGGGGAUGACAAUUCCAAAGCUUAUGUCUCGGGAAUAAAUGUGGAUGGUGCUAAGCUCUCUGAAACUGACAAUGGAGUAAGAAUUAUGACUUACCAGGGAGGGUCAGGAACUGCCAAGAACAUUAAAUUACAAAUCAUUCGUAUGGACAAUGUCAAGAACCCGAUCAUAAUCGACCAGAACUAGUGUGACAAGGAAAAAUGCGAGCAACAAGAAUCUGCGGUGCAAGUGAACAAUGUGGUAUACCGGAACAUCAGUGGUACGAGCGCAACGGAUGUGGCGAUAAUGUUUAACUGCAGUGAGAAAUAUACAUGCCAAGGUAUAGUGCUUGAGAACGUGAACAUCAAAGGAGGAACAGCUUCUUGCAAAAAUGUCGUCAAUGUUAAGGAUCAAGGCACCGUUUCCCCUCAAUACCCUUAACUAAUUAUCAAAUUAUGUAAUUUACAUAGAUACAUAUACUAUGUAUUUACAUAUUUGAUUCUUGAGAUAUGUAGAAUAUUAAAGAACUAAUAUAUGGUUAAUAUAUAUACAAUAGUCGAAAGAUUUGUUGUCUA